AGCAGGGUGGAGCAGUAGGUAGCUCGCAAGGGUCAUAGCCUUGAGGUCACAAGUUCGAGUCUUGUUCUUGCCA
rnacentral:tRNA from 2 species